AUUCUGCCUACAAAAAAAAAAAAAAAAAAGUAUACACACACACAGAAUGAAAAAUUGUAGAUUAGCUUCUGCUGGUCUCGCCAUCCUUCACUAUCCAAUUCAUUGCCAAGCACACAGUAACAGCAACUAAGAAUGAGAAAAAAUGGGAGGCUGUGGCUAUAACCUCUCAGUGCGGCCUCUGCACAGGCUCCACAGCCACCUCUUUUGAUGCCUGAGGGACCAGCCUGAUUGCAACAUGUACUGAGUGAGGUGACACCUAUGGGACUGGCAGCAUUCAGGUAAAAUCAUGAUCAGUUUGGAGAAUGACACUUAUCACUAUUGUAUUUCCCCUAAAAAAUAUGCAGAAUGUUGACAACAUGAGAUUUCUGGAAUAUCCUUCAGGAAUCCUAUACAAUUUGCUGGUGAGUCCUCUAACUACUCUUUGUUUUGUUAACAGCUGGGAAUCUGGGUUUUUAGGAUUAGGUUUCAAAAUUUCCAUCUCCUUCCCACUUUUGCUAACUGAAACAUGCCUCAAGAGAAUUUUUCUUUCAGUAUCCAAUGAAAAGCAAUGUUAAAACAAUAUUGGAAGUGCAGAUUUAAGACAAGUAGCAAGCAACCAUCUCCUGUCUUUUAGACGAGGUACUUCAGCACAACAAUAUUAUAGCAAAGACAGGGCUAUUUUUACAACCAGAACGGGAAGAUCCCUAAAAAUCAAACAGUCCUGUCUUGUUUUUUGGUGUGGGCUAUUUCUUAUGCCAAACCAGAGCAGCUAGUGCCUGUGGUGCAUGUAUGACCCUAACCUGGGAAGAAUGCAGAGCAACUGCAAUUGUCAGUGCGUCAGGAUCAUUAAAACAUACUCCUACUGGUAUCUAUAGCCUACCUUUCUUCCUUGGUGUCUAUUUCCUCUGAACUUGGUUCAGAGUCCAAGGCAGGGAGGAGGAAAAAUCACCAUCAUAAGAAAGCAGCUAUUUCAAGAGCAACCUUUUUUUUGGUCUAAUUAUUUCUCAAAUUCUGCAACCCUCUGCAAGUGAUUCACAAACGUAGUUCAAAUAGUGGGAAAACUAUUUGAGCCCAGGCAAGACUGGCUGUGUUAGGUUUGCUUGCUUAUUGUCGCUUUUUAACAUGUUUAAACACAUCUUGAAUGAUCCAAAAUAAUCUCUGAAGCAAAAGGAAUUCCAUAAAUUCCACAAAAUUAGUAAAAUAGAAAAAUGAAAAAUCAACUAAAGAAACUCUCAUGUGUUGCUUUAAACAUGUAAAUAAUGGCUAAUAGGACCUGUUCAAAAUUCUCUGUAAUUCAACUUUUAAAAUUCAACCUUACAAACUGCAGGGGUAUGCAAUUUGGUGUCCCUGUGCUCUGAGGACUGCCAGAUCCUACCCUAUGGCAUGAGAAGAAGACAUCACUCUGAAGCUGAUGUAAAUUCUGCCAGCCUCACUGAAAUCAGCAGAGUGAUGACAAGCUACAUUUGCUGAAGAACUGCCUUGAGUCCCAUAGUGUGUCUGCUCUGGAUGAUGAUUUUACAGUAGAUAUCCAAAGCAUCUUUUUAUACAUAUGUCUGAUUGCACACUUAAGCCAAAUAUUCAGCUGGUCUAAACAGAUAUAAUUUCACUAAUUUAAAUCUGUGUGGCUUACACCUGCCUGAGAUUAUGGCCAUCAUACCUGCAUUUUUUUCUAUGGAAAUCUCUGAAAUUCAGAGGGUUCCUGAGUUGAAGCUUAUAUUGAAACAUUACAGGUAACCAAGUCAACUAAUUUUUCAUCUGAUCAAAUCAACAGAACUGCACAUACACCACCAAAUUUGGAGCUGUACAUGAAAGGUAAAGCCUUCUAAACAUCACUAUACAUAAUCCUUUUCCUGCUCAAUAACAUUCCAAUGUUUUCUUCCAAGUGGGGAGAAAAAUAAAAUAAAAUAAAAUAAAAUAAAAGUGGAGGGUAAGGGGAAACAAGGACAGAAAAAAAUAAAAUAUAAAAAUAAAGCAAUUACCAAACAUUACCAUCUGGGUCUGCAUGUGAGUGGAGACCAAUCAGAGUUAGAUCUUCCUGCAAGUCCUAGCUACCCUUCCCUUAGAGCUCCUGCCUGUGGUGUAGCUCUCUUCAUGCCCUCAGCAGUGCAUCAGGAUGGUCUGAAAUGCUGCAGUGGAGAGACACCUCCCUUUGGGAUGGGACAGAGGGCUAUGAAACAUAGGACCAAAGCCACCUAACUCUCCUAAUUGUUUUCCCAUCUCUGUGCAGUCCCAUGGGUAGCUGCUUGUUCACCACAGAUAUUUGUACAUAACUCACUAAAAGGAAUGUACAGGGUCACAUGAUGGAUCAUACAUAAUUUGGUUUUUAUUGCAAUGGUAUUUUAAAUAUUUGUGAUCUCAGUUUUUCUCUCCACCCUACCCAGGGAAAUGGAAAUCUAUGGGGACAAGAUGGGAUUUCAGAAAGAUUAGCUUGAAUUUUGCUUUGCUUCUUUUCUCCUGACAGAAGAAAACAAAAAUUCAACAUUUGAAUUUGCCAUGAAAUAGCCUUUCUCUGCAAUAUGGAAAUUUCUGUGGCAGUAGCAGUUGCCAGGACCUGGAAGGGGGAAGAAAAGCCUGUGAUUCCCACCCCACCACACAAGGAAAGCAGCAUCAUGGGUGAGUCUCUUCCUUACCCUUGCACUGGAGUUGAGUUUAUUGCAUGAAAUCAAAAAUCUCAGAAAGCAAAACAAUUGCUUUCAAAAGCAAAACAAAAGCUAUUGCUCAGAAAGCAAAACAACUCCCUGAGCAGAGCCUAAAUGUUAUGCCUUCCCCACACAGCCUCUCUACCUGUCCUAGGAGGAAGACACACCAUACCUUUAAAUAUCUCCUAACUGACAUGGAAGAAGCAGACUCUUAACUUUUCCAGGGUGCUUUCUUCUCUCUGUCAUGGCAGCAUCAGUUGAAAGAUGCCACCUGGGAACUGAGAACAGAAGAAGGGCACAGCCAGCUCUACCACCUACUUCAAAGCUGCAGUUCCUCCAGCAUCUGGAGACCCUCAGCAGCUUCCAGGCUUUACCUGAGAACGCACACAUGAAAGGAAAAGGAGAGGGAAGAGGAAGUGGGCAGCUCCAUGGACAGGUUGAUCUCAUGAGCUGAACUCUAGCUGCUCAGAGAAGUGAAACACAGUAGCUGUCAGUGCAUGGAGUUCCUAUAGACCAGAGUGAGGUUUGCUGUCUGCUUUGGUAUGAAACAAAACAAGUAACACCUUUAAAGUCUACAGCUGGGCACAAUUCCUGUCCUGGCAGAUGGAGCAGCAAUCUCAUCCACACUACUCAGACGGGCAUUUUCUGGCACAGUCAGGCUCUUCCAUGAGAGCAGCAGGGAAUAACUGGUGUCACAGGGGCUACAGAAAUAGCAUGAGCAACAAGAGGUUAGAGCUGUGCUCUCCUUAACAGCACAGACAGGCUUUUAAGUACGAAACCUGAUUUCAAGCACACUUGCUCUCUCUGCAGGAGUGCCAAGAGUCUUGCAGCCAAAGUCACAGCCAUAAAACAACCUUUAAGGCAAGCCCCAUGAGUAACUGUCAGGUGGCAGAGGCAUGGCUUGAAAGGGGAGGGAAGAAGGCUGACAUUCCAGCAGCAUCUCACAUCCUGAGGGCUUGUUUCAUAACCUGAAAUGCCCCUUGCUUGAAAGGUCAGGGAGCAGUACCAUAGCUACUUUGGACAAGUAGCUCCUUGUCUGCAAUAUUUAGCUUGGCAAGUUGAGAAUUUACUAAGCUUAAAAGAACAGUUGACUCUCAAAAAUAACCCAAAAAAACAUUGGCAUAGUCUCAAGAGACGUCCAAUGGUUGAAUAAUCUUUAAGGUGAGAAAUCUGAACACCAGUCAGAUAUAACAGCCACAUCAAUUUUCAUGGGAAAAAAAGCAAAAAUUUAUUCCUCUUUAUUUUCUGCUACUACUCAAAGAUUCGUAUUGCAUUAUUGCUGUCCGCUGAAGUGGAUUCCUCCAAUAUUUUGGAGGAAUCUCUGCCACAGCCAGAAAGAAUUAAUGCACUGAUUUUCCUUGACAUUUAUAUAGCAAGGGAGAAUGAAGAAGCCUGAAGAAAGAAUCCUUCCUUUUUCUUUGCAUUUGUGCAAAGAGUUCUUCUGGAUGGAAUUUCAAAUCUCAGUAAAAACAAUUGCACGUUCCUGAAAUACUUUUUAGAUGAGUUAGGAGAAAAAAAAAAAGCAACUUUCUCAUAAAAACAAAUGGAAGUGGAAGGAGACAAAGAAAGAGCAUUUUUGUUGAGUUUAUUGAUAUAAAAUCAGCUGUUUUGGUAUUUCUAUCAGAAGGGAAUAUUACAAAUGUCCUUGCUUUGACAAAAAAAUACUACCUUUGGGAGAAGUGGGCUUAAUUUGGAUGUGUUCCCUUGCCUUUGGAAUAUCCCUGGCCUGGCACAAUUAUCCUUCCACAAAGGUCCUGUAAAAUUUUCUGCUGUUGACGCUUUGCUUCACUGCCAUCUCCUGCCCCUUGACAGGAGGCAUUGGUAACAUUAUGGUGAGGACGUGUGAUCUCAGUGGGUUUGCACUGUCUCUUUAUACACUGACCAGAUGGAAGACAGACUUCAGGCCAAACACUUCACUAGAUUCCCAUGCAGUACAGCAAGAAGAGGCAGUGAUGCUAACACCUGAAGCAGUAUCAUAAAUAAGGCCCUCAGGAUACACAUAGAGCCAGAGGAAUAUUCUGUUUUGCUUUAUUUCAUUGCUUUAUACACAAUGUAAAUUGAAUACCAUCAUGUCUAUACAGCACAGAGACCUGUUUCUACUCAUCAAAUCAGAAAGGGACAUCGGCUGGGAUGUCUGGAGGAUACUGCAAUGGCAUUUCCCUGUCCUGACAUGUGACAUGACAUAAAACAUUAGGCCUGGUUUCCAAAACCAGUGUGAAGAUUCCAGGCUCCACAAUUUUUCAGUAAAGCUCCUUGUCUGCUGUAAUACCAUUUCAGUGGCUGAAAUGCAUACUGAGGCAGAAAAUGUAAAAACCCAAAGAGUUUCUGGUAUUUUUUACCAUGCAAUUUCUACAGGGACAAACAAAUUCUUUUGAGUGGGAGCAGUUUCAGGCUCAAAUGAUCCAACACUUGGAUUAUGUCAACCCCAGUUCAUGUCCUUCUCAUGUGGCAACAUAACCACCAUGACAGGUAGGCAUAAUCACUGCCAGGAUGCACAGGGUGAAAAUCAGACCAAAACAGUGCAGCAAACUUGCAACAGGACAGAAACAUAAAUCAGAAAUACUAUUCACUAAUUAGUCUUGGAAAAAUCUGUGUGAACUUGAUGCCCUGAUGAACCACAUUUGGUGCAAAUCCCACAUGCAUUGCAUCACACUCCACCUUCUUUUCAUGGGAUGCAGGAUUUUUUCUAGUUUUUGAAUUGAUAUCCAGGUGUUGGUGUUAGCAGACAGAUUUUGUUCACACUCAUUAAAGAGGGCACUUCUGCAGAAAUGUACUGAUGAAAACACCCUGAGGACAAAAUGAGAAGUUUCUUAAGAGGAUGGGUUUCUGUUCAAGCCACUAAUCCAGGAAGGAAGAAGCUACAUGUUCAGAACCUCCCUACCCUGUCACUCUCUCUGAGGAGACAACACUGGAAAAUCUCCCUCAUAGUUCCAUCUGGUAUUUGGGUCUCCCUUAUUCAUCUUGCAAAAAAACUAGGGGAGUCUGGAGAUCAAGAAAAUACUUCCAAGAAUAUUCUUUGAUUCUUAAGAACCACAUAAGUACAUCCAAAUCUUUGAAUCAUCUGGUUUGGUGUGAGUUUCCACAGGACAACUGUACUGCAGUACAGAGUCCCGAUUCCCACAGGUUCGGCUCAAUUCCUUCUGGUGAACUGAAAAAGCUCCACUUUGAAAGCUCCAUGUUCAUCCCGCAGUAUCUUUGAUGAGACAAGUUCUCUUGGGGCCCCUCAAAUGGUGAGCUUGCCAUUCCUUUGCUAAUUGAUGUACACCAGCCCUUCUUUGGCCCUUGCUGCAGGCUGAGUCCACCUGCCCUGGAACAUGACCUGGCAGCAUACACCACCUUCUUGAUGUCUCACCAGCUGCUUGGACUUUUCUCUCCAUCAGGUAUUUUCCUCCCUCUUAGAGGGACACUGUGCAAUCCAACCCAACACAGAGGCACUGUCAGGAGGUGGCUACGUAGUUCCUUGACUGUGCUCCAGUGACUUCGGUCUCCCAAACGGAUGUCAAGGGAGUUUAUGAGAGUAGAAGAUAUAGAAGGUUCUGUUUCUGCUAAAGCUUGGAUUUGCUGCAGUUCUAGCCUUUCACAGAUACUUCUUGCAUAAUAGUUUGUGGCUGCAGUAUAAACUAUACACCAUUUGCAAGCAGGUCUACCUAAAUCACAGCAGUUAAGAUGCCCUGGAUAUAAGCCUGAAUCUUCACGCCAGCUUCUGCAACAAUUUACAAGGACAGCUCUACAAAUUUUGUUGGUGCUAGUAUCUUUUUUAUGCUACCUUUAGGGAUCAAGUACCCUAGAUUUUCACUCUAAGGAUUGUAAUUAUGGGUUGCUAGCAAAGGGAUUUCAGAGGUAUUGGGAGAGCACGAGGGAUGACGGUAAUAGUGUUAUUAAAUCAGUCCAGCAUCUCUACAGCACAUUGGAAAAAAAUGCAUAUCCUGGAUCAUUUUUAGGACAUAACUUUGCCUUGUGAAUAUUUUGGAGAAGACAUUUUCAAAAGAAUACAGAAUAAGAACAACUCAGAUGUGACAAAACAAGAUGGUGUCCAUGCUCUCACAGUCUUCAGGAUUUUCAGUACUCUUUCACUGGUGCUGUGAAGGUGAGCAAGCUUAACAGAACAUAACCACAGAAUGGGCUGUCAGCCCAGUCAUCAUCCCCUGAGGAAAACGUAGCAAGGCAAAAUGAUGUCACAAUCUUGGUGUGUUGGCUAAAAUGCAGACUAAAGAUUUGCUUGGUCUUUGUUUAAAACACAGAAAUGAAACAAACAGAAAGCAGUAGGUACCCACUGUAUAUGAUUGCUCUCCAACAGUUGCUGCAUUAGUUGCAUUUCUGGAACAGCUAAUGCAAAGUUACCUUUCUUGUCCCUUGGCUUUUACCAAUGAAAUCAACGGUGAUCCAGUGGUGGGUGCCUACACCACGUUCACAGCUAACAAAAUCAAGUGGCAUCUUGGCAGAUGGAGGCUGUUUUCACAGAAGAAAGUCACUAAAGAUGGAUAACAUUAAGAGGAGGAAAUGAGUGUUGUGAUUCCUGCCAGUUGAGAAUGCCCCAGGUAAGACAUAUACUUCCCAAUUUCACUGCCAGCAAGCAGACUGUAUUUCCUACCAGAUGGAAAAACUCAGCCCUUACCUCACCUGAUUAUUUCUAAGUAUAGACACUGACCCAAUAACUGUUAGUUCACCAAGAGACUUAUUAACAUGGAGACUUUGAACCCAGGGACAUUCCCACAAAGGCUGAUUAAUAACCAUGUAACACACCUGCCCUUUUUCAGAACCCUCAGGAUCACAUUCCUGUCUUGAAAAGUUAUGACACAUUGGCACAAACAGUGUACUUCUUGACCUUAGUCCUACAGAAACAAAUAGUUUGUCUCUCUAGUGUAAUCAAUCUCUACUUGUGUAAGAGAAAAAGCUGGCUGAAAGUCCUUAAGUGUCUAGAAACUCAACCCAUCACAGUCUCCUUGAAUGUCAGGAUAGUAAGAAAUACUUUGCACCAAUUUUCUGUCCUAUUUUUCUGGGCUAUUGAGCUCUGAUAAAAUCCCCAGGAGUUUAUACAGUUCAUUAUUUUAAAGGAAAAGAAUAGCACAGGUAGAUUAAAGUCAGUGAAGCUGCAGAAAAAGUGUUAAAAUUACAAACUGGUGCACUAUUUAUAAAUCUAUAAAGAAGAACACUUGAGUGUAUUUUCAACUUCAGCAUGUGACCAGUCCCAGGGACUACCACAGCCUUAAUCUGUGCACGUGCCUACAAACUUUGGAGACCUCUCACAAGUUAUGAUCUCAAGUACACGUAAGAGUGCUGACUGCUGUGCUGUGCUGCAACUGCCUCACUACUCUAAAUAUCUACUCUGAAUUAAGCUUCUAUAAGACAAUAAUAAUUUCCCACCAUAAUAUGUCACCUUUUCCAACAUGCAUCAAGGAAGCAGAGCACUGCUUUUUUAAAUGUAGUGGAUACAAAACUAUUUGAUCCUAUCAACUCCAGCUGGAGUAGAAGCUGAAAGUCUACAAGAAGCAAUGUGUUGCUUAGUUUAAAAUUCAUGCAUGAACAAAUUCAAUCCCAUAUCUAGUAAAUGUUUUGUGAUAAAUGUUAUAAAUAAAAACCUAUUUAUUCAUAACCUCA